CAGCAGAGGCUUCUCCUGAGGAAGAAAUCUAUCCUUACAUUCGGACUUUGCUACAUUUUGACACAAGAGAAUUUCUAAAUGUAUUGGCACUGACUUUUGAAGAUUUUAAAAAUGACAAGCAAGCUGUGGAAUAUCAACAGCGAAUUGUGGAUAUUUUGUUGAAACAUGCCUAGAACAGAUCCAGCACAAUGCCUGUAACCCAGUAGAUGUCAGAUAAAUGUUAUGGUGGAGAAUUCAGACUUUACCCCCUCACAAGUAGGAUGUCUCUUUACCUUCCUUGCUCGGCAGCUUGCAAAGCCUGACAACACCUUGUUUGUAAACAGAACACUUUUUGAUCAGGUCCUUGAAUUCCUUUGUAGUCCUGACGAUGACUCCCGACACUCUGAAAGACA
rnacentral:lncRNA from 10 species